AUACGGAGGAUCCGAGCGUUAUCCGGAUUUAUUGGGUUUAAAGGGUGCGCAGGCGGCCAUUUAAGUCAGCGGUUAAAUCGUGGGGCUCAACCCCAUUCUGCCGUUGAUACUGGGUGGCUUGAUUGCGGUCGAGGUUGGCGGAAUUCGUUGUGUAGCGGUGAAAUGCAUAGAUAUGACGAAGAACACCGAUUGCGUAGGCAGCUGACCAGACCGCAAAUGACGCUCAUGCACGAAAGUGCGGGGAUCGAACAGGAUUAGAUACCCUGGUAGUUCGCACAGUAAACGAUGAAUACUUGUUUUCGGCGAUAUAAUGUCGGAGGCAAAGCGAAAGCGAUAAGUAUUCCACCUGGGGAGUACGCCGGCAACGGUGAAACUCAAAUGAAUUGACGGGG
rnacentral:rRNA from 1 species